rnacentral:rRNA from 1 species
GAUGAACGCUGGCGGCGUGCCUAAUACAUGCAAGUCGAGCGAACGGACGAGAAGCUUGCUUCUCUGAUGUUAGCUGCGGACAGGUGAGUAACACGUGGAUAACCUACCUAUAAGACUGGGAUAACUUCGGGAAACCGGAGCUAAUACCGGAUAAUAUUUUGAACCGCAUGGUUCAAAAGUAAAAGACGGUCUUGCUGUCACUUAUAGAUGGAUCCGCGCUGCAUUAGCUAGUUGGUAAGGUAACGGCUUACCAAGGCAACGAUGCAUAGCCGACCUGAGAGGGUGAUCGGCCACACUGGAACUGAGACACGGUCCAGACUCCUACGGGAGGCAGCAGUAGGGAAUCUUCCGCAAUGGGCGAAAGCCUGACGGAGCAACGCCGCGUGAGUGAUGAAGGUCUUCGGAUCGUAAAACUCUGUUAUUAGGGAAGAACAUAUGUGUAAGUAACUGUGCACAUCUUGACGGUACCUAAUCAGAAAGCCACGGCUAACUACGUG